CGCUACUGCGCCAGGUCAAGGUUUAGGAAGGAUGGUGGAGUUUCUUUAACUUCAUUCACCUUUUCUAUAAGCUUUAAGUAUAUACUGGGCAUUGGAAGCAUCGAUGGAGGAACAUUUCCCCAUACAGUGUUUGGUCCAUAUUCUAAGGACCUUCAUGGUUCUUGGUGCCUCCAUCUUGCCCAUCUCCUCCUUAACAUUCAUGUGGACACACCGUGAAUAUGAUUAUCUUCACAUGGGCAGUUUUUGAGUUUGGCUCCUCAAAGUAAACAGUCAGAUCCUUUCUGCAUUUAAGGUGAAUUGAGGGGACACUCUGCAGGACAUCAUAUACCACCGCCAUGCCUCUGGAGUCGAUGAAUAUUUGGCUUGAGACAUUAUCCAGCAGUCAUCGAAGGCUUUGGUAAUGCCACACGGCCUGAUGCUGCCAAAAACGCCAUGUUAAAAAAGUUG